rnacentral:rRNA from 1 species
UACGUAGGGUGCAAGCGUUGUCCGGAAUUACUGGGCGUAAAGGGCGCGUAGGCGGCCUUCUAAGUCAGACGUGAAAUCCCCCCGGCUUAACCUGGGAACUGCGUCUGAUACUGGGAGGCUUGAGUAUGGGAGAGGGAUGUAGAAUUCCAGGUGUAGCGGUGAAAUGCGUAGAUAUCGUCAAGAACACCUAUAGCGAAGGCAGCUUACUAGGCUGUAACUGACGCUGAGGCACGAAAGUGUGGGGAUCAAACAGG